rnacentral:rRNA from 1 species
GAUGAACGCUGGCGGUAUGCUUAACACAUGCAAGUCGAACGGACUCUUCGGAGUUAGUGGCGGACGGGUGAGUAACGCGUGAGAAUCUGGCUUUGGGUUCGGGACAACCACUGGAAACGGUGGCUAAUACCGGAUGUGCCGAGAGGUAAAAGAGAAAUUGCCUGAAGAUGAGCUCGCGUCUGAUUAGCUAGUUGGUGAGGUAAAGGCUCACCAAGGCAGCGAUCAGUAGCUGGUCUGAGAGGAUGACCAGCCACACUGGGACUGAGACACGGCCCAGACUCCUACGGGAGGCAGCAGUGGGGAAUUUUCCACAAUGGGCGAAAGCCUGACGGAGCAAUACCGCGUGAGGGAAGAAGGCUCUUGGGUUGUAAACCUCUUUUCUUAGGGAAGAACAAAAUGACGGUACCUAAGGAAUCAGCAUCGGCUAACUCCGUG